CCCGGAAGCGUUGCGGCCGCUUUGCCUGACCAACGUCUGUGGGUGUGGAGCAGGCAUUGGGUUCUCCUACUGGGAAAAAUGAAGUAUGUUGAUGGUCUGGAAAAAUGUGAAGUCAUUUCCUGGUAGUCCUUCAUUCUACCUCGUGGAGAAGAGAAUUUGAAGGAUCACGAGAACUUGAAGAAUUUUUCAACAACAUAGAGCUCACGAAUCAAAUUCUCCAGUCAGAUGAUGUCGUAUUUAUCAAGAGAUCUAGCAAUGAAAGAGUUACCUCUAUUAAGGAAACCCAAUGCCCUCGGGAAUUCCUUCUGCUGCUUUGUCCUUCGCAAGAUCAACUGAAGUUCUCUACCUGUGUAAAAAGGCUGAAUUUCAGGUAAGGAAAGAAAGUUAAACUGCUUUGGUUUUUGAAUGAUUUUCUUGUUUAAAUAUAAAGUUUAAGUAUAAUGACAUUUUUAAAUUUCUAAAAUUAAUUUCACUCAAAGAUAGCAUAACAAUGUUAAGGAAAAGGAAAUAAUAAUCCAGUCAUCUAUGUUACUGUUGCUAACACAAUAAUUUUUAUUAAUGCAUAUUAUCUUCCCAUGUAUUUAUAUUCAUAUUUUACAUAUAUUGUGAUGAUAUUCAUAUAGCUUUUUUUUAUAUUCCAGAAACUGCUACUUACUUGAUACUGACAAUGAUGACUUUUCUAUAUCCCUUUGUAUAGAUAGGGAUAUACUUUUGCUUUUCUUCUUCCACCUACUCAGAACCUUCACUUCCUCACUUCCUCACCCCUA